rnacentral:rRNA from 1 species
AUUGAACGUGGCGGCAGGCCUAAUACAUGCAAGUCGAGCGGAAACGAUGGGAGCUUGCUCUCAGGCGUCGAGCGGCGGACGGGUGAGUAACGCGUAGGAAUCUACCCAGUAGCGGGGGGAUAGCCCGAGGAAACUCGGAUUAAUACCGCAUACGCCCCACGGGGGAAAGGCCGGGAUCUUCGGACCGGUCACUAUUGGAGGAGCCUGCGUAGGAUUAGCUUGUUGGUGAGGUAAAGGCUCACCAAGGCUACGAUCCUUAGCUGGUCUGAGAGGACGAUCAGCCACACUGGAACUGAGACACGGUCCAGACUCCUACGGGAGGCAGCAGUAGGGAAUAUUGUGCAAUGGGCGAAAGCCUGACACAGCCAUGCCGCGUGUGUGAAGAAGGCCCUAGGGUUGUAAAGCACUUUCAGUAGGGAGGAAUUAGUAGUGUUAAUAACUCUGCGAAAUGACGUUACCUACAGAAGAAGCACCGGCAAACUCCGUGCCAGCAGCCGCGGUAAUACGGAGGGUGCGAACGUUAAUCGGAAUUACUGGGCGUAAAGCGCGCGUAGGUGGUUUAUUAAGUGGGAUGUGAAAGCCCCGGGCUUAACCUGGGAACUGCAUUCCAAACUGAUAAACUAGAGUACGAUAGAGGGGGGUAGAAUUCAGAGUGUAGCGGUGAAAUGCGUAGAUAUUCUGAGGAAUACCGGUGGCGAAGGCGGCCCCCUGGAUUGAUACUGACACUGAG